GAUGAACGCUGGCGGCGUGCCUAAUACAUGCAAGUCGAGCGAACAGACGAGGAGCUUGCUCCUCUGACGUUAGCGGCGGACGGGUGAGUAACACGUGGAUAACCUACCUAUAAGACUGGGAUAACUUCGGGAAACCGGAGCUAAUACCGGAUAAUAUAUUGAACCGCAUGGUUCAAUAGUGAAAGACGGUUUUGCUGUCACUUAUAGAUGGAUCCGCGCCGCAUUAGCUAGUUGGUAAGGUAACGGCUUACCAAGGCAACGAUGCGUAGCCGACCUGAGAGGGUGAUCGGUCACACCGGAACUGAGACACGGUCCAGACUCCUACGGGAGGCAGCAGUAGGGAAUCUUCCGCAAUGGGCGAAAGCCUGACGGAGCAACGCCGCGUGAGUGAUGAAGGUCUUCGGAUCGUAAAACUCUGUUAUUAGGGAAGAACAAAUGUGUAAGUAACUAUGCACGUCUUGACGGUACCUAAUCAGAAAGCCACGGCUAACUACGUG
rnacentral:rRNA from 1 species